UACGGAGGGUGCAAGCGUUAAUCGGAAUUACUGGGCGUAAAGGGCGCGUAGGCGGUUAUGUAAGUGUAAUGUGAAAUCCCAGGGCUCAACCUUGGAACUGCAUUUCAAACUGCAUGACUAGAGUGCGAUAGAGGGAGGUAGAAUUUCCGGUGUAGCGGUGAAAUGCGUAGAGAUCGGAAGGAAUACCGGUGGCGAAGGCGGCCUCCUGGAUCGACACUGACGCUGAGGUGCGAAAGCGUGGGGAGCAAACAGG
rnacentral:rRNA from 1 species